CCUACGGGAGGCAGCAGUGGGGAAUAUUGGGCAAUGGGCGCAAGCCUGACCCAGCAACGCCGCGUGAAGGAAGAAGGCUUUCGGGUUGUAAACUUCUUUUCUCAGGGACGAAGCAAGUGACGGUACCUGAGGAAUAAGCCACGGCUAACUACGUGCCAGCAGCCGCGGAAAUACGUAGGUGGCAAGCGUUAUCCGGAUUUACUGGGUGUAAAGGGCGGGUAGGCGGGAAAGCAAGUCAGAUGUGAAAACCAUGGGCUCAACCUGUGGACUGCAUUUGAAACUGUUUUUCUUGAGUACUGGAGAGGCAGACGGAAUUCCUAGUGUAGCGGUGAAAUGCGUAGAUAUUAGGAGGAACACCAGUGGCGAAGGCGGUCUGCUGGACAGCAACUGACGCUGAGGAGCGAAAGCGUGGGGAGCAAACAGGAUUAGAUACCCCAGUAGUC
rnacentral:rRNA from 1 species